rnacentral:snRNA from 1 species
AGCUUUGUGCAGUUGCAAUAAUGUAGCCAGUGAAGGUUAUGUGAGGCGUGAUUAUUGCUACUUGAAAACUUUUCUCCAAUCUGCUCUGCAUUCAUUUGUGGUUCUCUUAUUGGUAUUGUAUUUUUUUUACA